UAGGAGAAAGGGGCUGGAAAUCGCUACAAAUCAAAUUCGAUCGAUCUCUUUGAAUUGUUCGUCGGAAAAUGGGGUACACGAAGGGUUUGUUUUCCGUGAUGAUGAGAAAUGGAGAGCCGCUGGUGAAGAAAAUGACUGCUGUGUCUGUCUUCGGGGUGCUCCCUGGAGCCAUGAUCGCUUCUCUUAUUUAUUCUCCUCCCGAUUUCAUCUACAAUCAGAAAAACUCUUCUUCUAAAACUCUCAAUUAGAGAUCUCUCUCGACUGCUUGGAAGACGUAGAAAUAUGUGUGGCAGAAGGAUGGAACGCAAUGAUCCUAAUGGUCGGUGUGUUAGCCAUAAUCGGUUAAGCCAUUUGGAAUCAUAGUUUUGCUGUUCUUUUGAGCCAAUUGUUUCAGUUUUAACAUAAACUUAAUUGACUGUCUUUCAAUUAUUGAUUAAUGCAUAAGUCUCUCAAGUUCU